GACGAACGCUGGCGGCGUGCUUAACACAUGCAAGUCGAACGGAAAGGCCCUGCUUUUGUGGGGUGCUCGAGGGGCGAACGGGUGAGUAACACGUGAGUAACCUGCCCUUGACUUUGGGAUAACUUCAGGAAACUGGGGCUAAUACCGGAUAGGAGCUCCUGCUGCAUGGUGGGGGUUGGAAAGUUUCGGCGGUUGGGGAUGUACUCGCGGCUUAUCAGGUUGUUGGUGGGGUAGUGGCUUACCAAGGCUUUGACGGGUAGCCGGCCUGGGAGGGGGACCGGCCACAUUGGGACUGGGAUACGGCCCAGACUCCUACGGGAGGCAGCAGUGGGGAAUAUUGCACUGUGGGCGGAAGCCUGGUGCAGCAACGCCGCGUGGGGGAUGACGUCCUUCGGGUUGUAAACCGCUUUCGCCUGUGACGAAGCGUGAGUGACGGUAAUGGGUAAAGAAGCACCGGCUAACUACGUG
rnacentral:rRNA from 1 species